rnacentral:lncRNA from 1 species
UGUUUUAUUCAGUGUUUAUCAAUCACAAAAUAAAUAUGACGUGAAACUCUUCUCAGGCCUGCAGGGUAUGGCGGUGGUUGACGAGUUUGGAGGGGUGGAAGAGAGCAGAGUUCAUCAUGCAGCAUCUCAGAGCAUCGUUCUGAGAGGAAAACACACUGAUGUGAUCUUCCGGAUGGACUGUGCUCCACCGAAGGUCAGGAGUUCUGUUCAGUCCAUCAAAUCAAUGUGUGAUAAACACUGUCAUCAAAUAUAUAAAACAGCACGUGUUUCUCAUGUCUUCUCACCUGUGUCUCUCUGCAGAAUUCUGUGGAGCUGUAUUGUAAUGGUGAAUGCAAAAAUAAUUCAGUGUAUGAAAGUCAAAUCGGUGCUGUUUCAUUUGAACAGAUUUCUGUAUUUAAAUACGUCAUUUCGGGGUUGAUCUCUGUCGAUCUUCUCAAGAACAGUCACAUAACGCUGCAAACAGGAGCACUUCUGAUGGCAUCUUCAUCUUCCUGCCCAUCAUCAUCAUCUUCAUUUUUGUCACCUAGAUUUAUUGGGUCGUUUCUGUAGGUUUUCUGGUGACUUUGGAUUCUGUGACGUGGAGACCAAACCCAGAGAUGAACCGCAAAAACACAGCAGAAAUCAUAACAUAUCAUACUAAAAAUAUCUGUCUAUCUA